rnacentral:rRNA from 2 species
UAAGGAAUAUUGGACAAUGGACGAAAGUCUGAUCCAGCCAUGCCGCGUGAAGGAUUAAGGUCCUCUGGAUUGUAAACUUCUUUUAUAUGGGACGAAAAAAGGGAAUUCUUUCUCACUUGACGGUACCAUGUGAAUAAGCACCGGCUAACUCCGUGCCAGCAGCCGCGGUAAUACGGAGGGUGCAAGCGUUAUCCGGAUUCACUGGGUUUAAAGGGUGCGUAGGCGGGUAGGUAAGUCAGUGGUGAAAUCUCAGAGCUUAACUCUGAAACUGCCAUUGAUACUAUUUAUCUUGAAUAUUGUGGAGGUAAGCGGAAUAUGUCAUGUAGCGGUGAAAUGCUUAGAUAUGACAUAGAACACCCAUUGCGAAGGCAGCUUACUACGCAUAUAUUGACGCUGAGGCACGAAAGCGUGGGGAUCAAACAGG